GCUUACGGCCACACCUCCUGAGCACGCCCGAUCUCGUUGAUCUCGGAAGCUAAGCAGGGUCGGGCCCGGUUAGUACUGGAUGGAGACGCCUGGGAAUACCAGGUGCUGUAAGCC
rnacentral:rRNA from 1 species